rnacentral:rRNA from 1 species
UACGUAGGGUGCAAGCGUUAAUCGGAAUUACUGGGCGUAAAGCGCGCGUAGGUGGCCAUGUAAGUCCGCUGUGAAAGUCAAAGGCUCAACCUUUGAAAGCCGGUGGAUACUGCAUGGCUAGAGUACGGAAGAGGCGAGUGGAAUUCCUGGUGUAGCGGUGGAAUGCGCAGAUAUCAGGAGGAACACCAAUAGCGAAGGCAGCUCGCUGGGACGUUACUGACACUGAGGCGCGAAAGCGUGGGGAGCGAACAGG